rfam:Punica granatum cultivar Dabenzi scaffold109, whole genome shotgun sequence.
AAUCCGUGAUGUGGACACUUUCUGAUUGCCUCCUUAAAUCUCUCCCAUGCCUCAUAAAAUGAUUCACCACUGAACUUGGUGAAGUUAGUGAUUUCUUUCCUCAAUCU